GUCUUUUUAGUAUAUAAGUAUAUUUGACUUCCAAUCAAAAGGUCCGGUUGAGGAAAAGAUA
rnacentral:tRNA from 1 species